rnacentral:rRNA from 1 species
UACGUAGGGUGCAAGCGUUAAUCGGAAUUACUGGGCGUAAAGCGUGCGCAGGCGGUUUUGUAAGUCUGACGUGAAAUCCCCGGGCUCAACCUGGGAAUUGCGUUGGAGACUGCAAGGCUGGAGUCUGGCAGAGGGGGGUAGAAUUCCACGUGUAGCAGUGAAAUGCGUAGAGAUGUGGAGGAACACCGAUGGCGAAGGCAGCCCCCUGGGUCAAGACUGACGCUCAUGCACGAAAGCGUGGGGAGCAAACGAGGAUUAGAAACCCGUUGUAGA